rnacentral:rRNA from 1 species
UACAGAGGCCUCGAGCGUUAGGCGGAAUCACUGGGCUUAAAGCGUGUGUAGGCGGACUUCUAAGUACCUUGUGAAAUCCCACGGCUUACCCGUGGAACUGCUCGGUAUACUGGUUGUCUUGAGCUUUCUAGGGGCGAGCGGAACAAAUGGUGGAGCGGUGAAAUGCGUAGAUAUCGUUUGGAACGCCAAUGGUGAAAACAGCUUGCUGGGAGUGUGCUGACGCUGAGACACGAAAGCCAGGGGAGCAAACGGG